CCUACGGGGGGCAGCAGUGAGGAAUAUUGGUCAAUGGACGAGAGUCUGAACCAGCCAAGUAGCGUGAAGGAUGACUGCCCUAUGGGUUGUAAACUUCUUUUAUAUGGGAAUAAAAUGUUCCACGUGUGGGAUUUUGUAUGUACCAUAUGAAUAAGGAUCGGCUAACUCCGUGCCAGCAGCCGCGGUAAUACGGAGGAUCCGAGCGUUAUCCGGAUUUAUUGGGUUUAAGGGGAGCGUAGGUGGAUUGUUAAGUCAGUUGUGAAAGUUUGCGGCUCAACCGUAAAAUUGCAGUUGAAACUGGCAGUCUUGAGUACAGUAGAGGUGGGCGGAAUUCGUGGUGUAGCGGUGAAAUGCUUAGAUAACACGAAGAACUCCGAUUGCGAAGGCAGUUCACUGGACUGCAACUGACACUGAGGCUCGAAAGUGUGGGUAUCAAACAGGAUUAGAUACCCCGGUAGUC
rnacentral:rRNA from 1 species